NNGGGUAUGGUUUAGUGGCAGAAUGCGACCUUCCCAAGGUCGAGACCCGAGUUCGAUUCUCGGUAUCCGCA
rnacentral:tRNA from 1 species